rnacentral:rRNA from 1 species
GAUGAACGCUGGCGGCGUGCCUAAUACAUGCAAGUCGAACGAAGAACCUUCGGGUUCUUAGCGGCGGACGGGUGAGUAACGCGUGAGCAACCUGCCUUGAACUGGGGGAUAACGCAUCGAAAGAUGUGCUAAUACCGCGUAAGACCACAGUACCGCAUGGUACAGGGGUCAAAGGAGCAAUCCGGUUUAAGAUGGGCUCGCGUCCGAUUAGCUAGUUGGUGAGGUAACGGCUCACCAAGGCGACGAUCAGUAGCCGGCCUGAGAGGGUGAACGGCCACAUUGGGACUGAGACACGGCCCAAACUCCUACGGGAGGCAGCAGUGGGGAAUCUUCCGCAAUGGGCGAAAGCCUGACGGAGCAAUGCCGCGUGAGUGAAGAAGGCCUUCGGGUUGGUAAACUUCUUUUGUCCAGGGACGAGGACGUGACGGUACCUGGAGAAAAAGGCAACGGCGUAACUAACGUG